ACGUGGUGGUGCGAGAAGGACAAGCAUAUUGCCUAUGACCCGGUUCACCACAUAGCCUACAAAACUCCUCAUCUCUAAUCGUUCCAUUCAACGCUGCAAGUUCCCUGAGCUGUUGCCUCUUAUGCUCAUUAAGUACUUCAUCUACAGGCUGCAAAAGCUUCUCCAACAUAGCUGCAGCUGCCUCAAGCGACUCCUGAGUAUCAGCUUCGACAGGUUGCAAAAGCUUCUCCAACAUAGCUGCAGCUGCCUCAAGCGACUCCUGAGUAUCAGCUUCCACUAACACGUGUAAAUCCUCAUUCUCUGCAGGAUCAUGCUUCAAAUUCCCCUUCUGUUGUAACCUCCCCUCU
rnacentral:lncRNA from 1 species